AUGCUGGCUUCCGCAGCAUAUAUACUAAAAUUAGGACCAUGCAGAGAAGAUUAGCAUGGCCCCUGCACAAGGAUAACAUGCAGAUUCUUGUGUUCUGUGUUUUU
ensembl:snRNA U6 U6 spliceosomal RNA